AUUUGCAGCAGCCGCACCCAGGUGCAAGUUCCAGAUAGCAUCUACUCUUGGAAGCUAAGCAGGGCUGUGCCUGCUUACUGCUUAGUAAUUGGAUGGGAGACCAACUUGAAAGACCAGGGGUUGCUAGUG
rnacentral:rRNA from 12 species